rnacentral:misc_RNA from 1 species
GGCGGUGGUGGCGGAGAGGGCGUCGGCGGCGGUGAGCUGCGGCGACGUGACGUCGUCGAUCGCGCCGUGCCUGUCGUACGUGAUGGGGAGGGAGAGCUCGCCGUCGUCGUCGUGCUGCAGCGGGGUGAGGACCCUCAACGGCAAGGCCUCCUCCUCCGCCGACCGCCGCACCGCCUGCAGCUGCCUCAAGAACAUGGCCUCCUCCUUCAGGAACCUCAACAUGGGCAACGCCGCCUCCAUCCCCAGCAAAUGUGGCGUCUCCGUCGCCUUCCCCAUCAGCACCUCCGUCGACUGCUCCAAGAUCAACUAAUUACUAGCUUGAUCAUCUCCAGCUGAGAUCGAUAUGUAUGGGAAGAUCUAGAGAGUGACUGUUCACUGCUAGCUUUGUUUAUUUUCUUGCUGCAUGCGUACGUGCACUAUAUAAUGUAAUAAUGCGUUUCAAUGUUUA